rnacentral:tRNA from 1 species
UGCAUAAGCAAGAGUUUCUUUUUAAUACAGCUAAAGCUCGAUUUGAUUUUUAGUGAGAUCAA